UCAUUUCUCAGUCUGAACAUUCUUCAGAUUCUUCAUCGUGUCAGAGUUCUGCUCUUCUUCUUCAUCUUCAGACUUUGUUCAGUUUAGAUUUUACAUUUCUACAUUUUUGGAUCUUCAUACCUGAAACUUUCUCCACCAGCUCUUCGGUAUCUCUCCUGCUGCUGACUCUAGAACUCAUCUCUCUCUUGUCAUUCAGAUCAACAUGAAGAUCUCUAUCUUUGCUGGUGUUCUGCUGAUCUCUGCUGCUCUCAUGUUCCUGGGACCAGAACCUUCAGAUGCUCUGUCCUUUGAUAUUAGGCACACCUACCCUAAGAUGACUGCUGCCCAAUGUACCGAUGUGAUAAAUGAAAGAAAAAUCAAUGAGGAAAACAAAGUCUGCAAGAGUACCAAUACCUUCUUGAAUGGUAACAAUGCGUAUUCCACUGGAACAAUCUGUCGUAGUAGAGAAGGAGGGACGCUGUGGAAACAAAACCCCAGUCUUAGAAUUAGCAACGAUAUUUACCCAAUUAUUGAGUGUAUUUGGGAUAGAGUUUCCAGGUUUCCCAA